CCUUGCCUCCUGGGGAUUGUCACCAGGGCUGGGUAGAGAAGGAACAUGGGGCUCUGGAGGUAUGGAACAUGGCAGAGGGGAACCUGCAAAGAAGGCAGUCCUUUUCCUUUGGUUAACCCUUUCCCUGUCAAACUCAGAUCAGUGAGUUUGGAAAGAAGCCGAAUUAUUGGCAAUGGCCCCUCCACACAUCUCAGAAAAGCGUCGGGACACAACAGAAGCCUCAGGGUUUGUUUGUUUUUGAAAGCCGCUGAAGAUAGAGGAUUUUUUUUAAUGCCAGAUGACAUACUUCAGGCUAAGCCAGAAUGCGCAGCCAUAAUUCGUGGAAAAACAGAGUCCUGUCUGUAUUGGUCCCCGAUAGCCCGCAGUGACUUCUGGAUAAAUGCUGCUAAUAUGUGGACUGGCACACUGAAUUCCAGAGAAGAUUCAAACUAACAGCCAUAAUCUUCCUAUAGCGCCACCAUCAGGAAUAUUAGCAAAGAUAAGUAAAGAGUUGAAAAUAUUUGUUUUUAAAGCGACUAGACCCAGGGUACCUAGACAAAUAUAUGCAUGUAAGGUAAAGGAUGGGGCCUGGGGCUCUCCAGAAUUGAAUAUUUACUUUGAUACAUAUUGUAUUACACAACUUAUACAUAUGCAUCGUGACCCCCCGGUGAAGUGGGCAAACUUAGAGAUAAUGUUACAGGAUAAUUUACACAAAUUGCCUUUGAUAAAUAAUUUCGGUAAGGAGAAGAAAAAACAAAGUAACCCUAUUAUUAAUACAAUUGAGAUGGUGUGGAAAAAAUGCAAAAUAAGUUGCUUCCAACAAUGUCACCCUUAUUAGAAAUUAAGACAUAUAUGUCUGCAAAUAUGUCCUGCUGUCAAAUUUGAACAUUUUGUAGUGAGUUUCGCUGCUCCAACCUGAGAUUCGAAGGUGGCAGUGUUACGUCCGACUGUGGACGCUGUCAUAACUGUGGUUUUGUGCUGUUUCUGAAACUGAAAUCUGUGACCCAGACCCACUCAGUAAUGCACCUGCUCCAUGCCUGCCGUGCUUCUAGCUGGCCGCCUCUUUGAACACUUGCCCCACCCCUCCUUCUCCACACUAUUCAAGCUCUUGCCUGGCAAUAGGGACACUGCCUUGUCCUAUCUCAAGCUUCUAAGCCUGUCAAGGGGGAAAGUUACACUGGGGGAUGCCCACUUUCCACUGUGUCUCCUGUUCCCCUCUCUGGCAACCAGAAGACAAAGGGGACAGGAUGGCAGGACGGGCACUAUGUGUUUUGGUCGCCAAAAAUAAAAUGAUAAAGAAGUAUGUUCACAAGCACAUGCAGUCACAGCGGCACCAUAAACCAGGCAAUCCAAUUAGAUUGCUGCAACGAUAAUAUAUGGCAGGGCAGUGACACCCGGGGUCGGGUUUAAAAGGCAUCCCCACCCAGGAAUUAUUGAAUGUGUCUGCUCUAUUUUUUGUACAAUAAAGUUGGGGGAAGGGGGACCCAGCCCCUUCUCCUUGGGUGCAAGCAUGCACUCUAUGGCAUUACUCAUGGGAAGAACCAUCCUGGGGUACACAGGGAUUGGGCAGAAUAGUUAAUAACGUGUAACAAUGUCCCUUCUCCCAAGGACCACUCUCUCAUGUGAGUGAAAGGCCAUGAAGACAUGCAUGCGGGCCAGAUGGAAGAUGCUGCCCAGCAUGGUUGCUUGAUACAAGCAAGCCUUGGAGACGGGUCACGAUGAAGCAGUCCAAGCAGUCCCUCUGCCUCUCUGGUCAUCCAUUGGCACAUAUCCAUGUUUGCUUUUGCCUGGUACAGUGACCAUACUUUCCUGGGAUCUCUGAUAAUUGAGGCUCCCCUCUCCUGUGAUUCCCUGCACAACGCCAGUUCAAACCCUAGUUUGCUCACAUGGCACCACCUGGAUACAUGGAGCAGCCACUACUGCUUGGGAGUAUGAAAGGGUUUCCUAAAGAGGAGGGAUCACAGUAUACAAGUUCUAUUACUUACCAGAGAGAACAGGAGCCCUGCUCAAGCAGGACCCCCUUGAUUUGGGUGACCUAAUUAAUGAGAGUGCAGUCUGCUGGAGGACCAAAGGUUAAUGAGCCUCUGGUCCUCCCCAGUGGACUAACCCUCUCACAGUGAUAAUCCCUGGCCAGCAAGCAGACACAGGAACAGGAGUGUGCUUGGGUAUUCUUGGGUUGCUUUGCCAGGGUCAGCCAUUGCACAAGUAUCCUUGGUCACAGUGGACCAAAUCCCAAGAUCCUUUGCCCUACUUCAUAUACAUAGUCUCUCCUAGGAAGUCAUCAUGAUCCCUUUCUAGAGUAACAGAAAAAUAGUGCUCCUAUGCACCACUUCCCCCCUGCCAGCCCGGUGCAAGAAAUUGUGCUUGUGUAAGACUGUUUUUGUCCGGGGCUCUUAUGAGGGUGGCUGUGCAAUAGCUGGCAGGAGAAGGGCUUAAAUGCCAUUUAAUACAAUACAAUACAAUACAAUACAAUACAAUACAAUACAAUACAAUACAACAAAUAUUAAUAUACUGCUUUUCAACAGAAGUUCCCAAAGCGGUUUACACAGAUAUAAAUAAAUAAAUACAAUGGCUCCCUGCCCCCAAAGGGCUCACAAUCCAACCCCCCCCCCCAUAAAAUAGACACCAGCAAUAGCCACUGGAGGGAUCCUGUGCUGGGGACAGAUAGGGACAAUCUGUCUCCCCCUGCUCAGUAAAGAGAAUCACCACUUUUAAAAAGUGCUUCUUUGCUCAAUUAGCAGAGGAUUUAAAGGGAUUUAAAUGCUCUUUCCCUGCUGAGGAUGGGUGGUCCAUUCCAAAAAAGCAUGAUCACGCUUGGCAUGCCCCCUUGAAGAUCGUGGCCAAUGGCUGCCACCCUGCAGCUGUUCUUCUGACGCCUUGCCCACAGUCUGGUGAUGCGAGUGCUACAGACCUUGCUGGGAUGCAGCCUCAGCAGACCAGGAAGAGGGAGAGGCUUCCCUACCCUGAAACUGGGGGUUGCUGGGCUAAGGUUGGACAAAUGUCUGCGAUGUGAUUCACAGUUACAAAAAUUAACGUUGGUUUCAUCUACUCUCUGUUUGCUGUUAUGUGUGAAUAGGGCCAACAUUUCCCAAGAUUCUUCCACUGGUCUGUCUUUCCCAUCCUCUGGUUGUAUAUUGAUCAUUAUGAGGUCUUUGUAGUGACUUCUGGCUUUUUUUUCUGUUUUUGUUCUGAAUAUGGGGAAAACAUAUCGGAUCUCUAGGUUAGCUAAUUGCGGAAGUGCCAGUAUCCUGUGGCUGGUGUCCAACCAUUCCUGAUCCAUUUAAGUGGUGACUACUUGGCAUUAUGACAAGUAUAUUAUUCCUGUCUUGUCGUAUGGAUUUCUUGUCCUGGUGGGGAAUCAUGUCAUUUUCCUCUAACAGAGAAAUUACAUACAUUUUCCAAAUAAAAUUUGUGAUCUUGCAUCCUCUCUCAAAA